AUUGAACGCUGGCGGCAUGCCUUACACAUGCAAGUCGAACGGCAGCGCGGGGCAACCUGGCGGCGAGUGGCGAACGGGUGAGUAAAAUAUCGGAACGUGCCUGAAAGUGGGGGAUAACGUAGCGAAAGUUACGCUAAUACCGCAUACGCUCUCUGGAGGAAAGUGGGGGACCGCCUUGGCGGCCUCAUGCUUACAGAGCGGCCGAUAUCUGAUUAGCUAGUUGGUGGGUAAAAGCCUACCAAGGCGACGAUCAGUAGCUGGUCUGAGAGGACGACCAGCCACACUGGAACUGAGACACGGUCCAGACUCCUACGGGAGGCAGCAGUGGGGAAUUUUGGACAAUGGGGGCAACCCUGAUCCAGCAAUGCCGCGUGUGUGAAGAAGG
rnacentral:rRNA from 1 species